ACAGGAACCCGCACAUGGGACACUCUGUUCUACCCAGGAAACUGAAGCUCAGAGAUUUUGGGCUCCUAACCCAGAACACACAGCCAGGUGAAAGAGCGGGGAUUCUGCUCAAGACUAAGUCUGAGGUGGUCUGAUGGAGCAUACAAAAUCUCAACCCUACCUAUGCUCUUCUGAAAACAAAAUGAAACAAACAAUACAAAAACACCAGGCAUGAACAUGAUGCGUCUACUGCCAGACAAGGCCUUCUCUCUUCCUUCUUGCAGUAGUGCCAGGAGCACUUGUUGGCACAAGGAACGGGUGGCUGACGGGUGUGUAGAAGCUUUUGGUUCUUGCCACACACGCCUGAUGACCUGAGUUCAAUCCCAAGAACCCAUGUAAAGAUAAAAGGAGAAAAUUGACUCCGUGGGGUUGCCCUCUGUCCUCCACACCCACAUCAUGCCGUGUGCGUGCCCACACACGUACAUCGUAAUAAGUAAGAUAACUCUUAAAGGAACUGAAAGGCUUUGGUGCCCUCGGUGGGGAGAAGGGAACAGAGGAUGCUUUUGGGCAGGGGCUUUUAAAAGGGGAUUCAAUAAACUGGGCUACACAGU
rnacentral:lncRNA from 1 species